rnacentral:rRNA from 1 species
AAUAGAUACCCAGGUAGUCCACGCCGUAAACGAUGAGUGCUAAGUGUUAGGGGGUUUCCGCCCCUUAGUGCUGCAGCUAACGCAUUAAGCACUCCGCCUGGGGAGUACGGUCGCAAGACUGAAACUCAAAGGAAUUGACGGGGGCCCGCACAAGCGGUGGAGCAUGUGGUUUAAUUCGAAGCAACGCGAAGAACCUUACCAGGUCUUGACAUCCCAUUGGCCACUAUGGAGACAUAGUUUUCCCUUCGGGGACAACGGUGACAGGUGGUGCAUGGUUGUCGUCAGCUCGUGUCGUGAGAUGUUGGGUUAAGUCCCGCAACGAGCGCAACCCUUGUUCUUAGUUGCCAUCAUUUAGUUGGGCACUCUAAGGAGACUGCCGGUGACAAACCGGAGGAAGGUGGGGAUGACGUCAAAUCAUCAUGCCCCUUAUGACCUGGGCUACACACGUGCUACAAUGGACGGUACAAACGGUUGCCAACCCGCGAGGGGGAGCUAAUCCGAUAAAACCGUUCUCAGUUCGGAUUGUAGGCUGCAACUCGCCUACA